AAACUUACUUGGCUGGGAGGUGACUCGCGAUCAUGAAGGCGAGUACUCCACGGUGAGGUCGGCCCAUUGCACUUGCGGGUAACGAUUGACCCGUGUGGCAGUCUCGAGUUGGGACUCGCCAACAGCAUAAUUUUUGCGUUUGGGGACAGACAAUCGUGCCGUUCCCCG
rfam:Onchocerca flexuosa genome assembly, scaffold: OFLC_scaffold0000256